UGCUAUCUUGGUUGUAGAAGUUUCUCUAUGAAAAAGUUAAGUGGAGUGCUAGACUUUGGCUCAUGGUGCUUAGGUUACUCUAACGAAGUAGGCUGUGAGCAGGGCUCUGUUCAACCUGGGUAAAUUCCAAAUGAACACGGAAGGUAUAAAGAUGUAGCCCGGCCGAAAUGGAAUAUAAGGAAAAGUACGGGUUUCAUCCUAUGUUAUCUGUUUAAAUGAGCAGGAGUAGAGACAGCACCAGAGUGUUUAUCACCUAGUUUCAGUCAUAAUAUUUGUCCAAGGAUGUAAAAAAAAUCGCUUACCUUAACCAACAUAAAAUUGAAUUGUCGGACAUGUUUGCUCACCUGGAAUAGUUCUACAAAAUAGGACUUACAGAAAUAAAUCCACUGAAUUCUCUUCAAAUCACUGAACGCACGGAAAAACUAUUGCCCACGGUAAUUUGCACGUUUUUAUACAAAAUACCAUAUCCAUAUUAUUGUUCUUAUCAAAUUGUGGUUUCUCUUAGAAGGAAGUGAAAAUUACUAUCAAAUAUUUAAUAUGGUUUCCGAACACCAAAGCGCCAGUCUCUUAUCUGCAUCUAUUUCUUAUCUAGAUAUUCCACAGUCAAUCAAAUUAAAUACAAAGCAAAAUUGUAGAUUGGUGUCUUCAAACAAGUUUCAAGUUAGGAAGUGCAUGUAAUUUAGUAUUAUAUCAAAGCUCAAUGCGGAACUAGACCGCAGAAAAAAAACUGAGGCAAACUACA